UACGGUAGGGUGCGAGCGUUAAUCGGAAUUACUGGGCGUAAAGUGUGCGCAGGCGGCCGAGCAAGUCGAGUGUGAAAGCCCCGGGCUUAACUUGGGAAUUGCGCUCGAAACUACUUGGCUGGAGUGUGGCAGAGGAAGGUGGAAUUCCAGGUGUAGCGGUGAAAUGCGUAGAGAUCUGGAGGAACACCGAUGGCGAAGGCAGCCUUCUGGGCCAACACUGACGCUCAUGCACGAAAGCGUGGGGAGCAAACAGG
rnacentral:rRNA from 1 species